UACGUAGGGUGCGAGCGUUGUCCGGAAUUAUUGGGCGUAAAGAGCUUGUAGGCGGUUUGUCGCGUCUGCUGUGAAAAUCCGGGGCUCAACUCCGGAUCUGCGGUGGGUACGGGCAGACUAGAGUGAUGUAGGGGAGACUGGAAUUCCUGGUGUAGCGGUGAAAUGCGCAGAUAUCGGGAGGAACACCUAUGGCGAAGGCAGCUCGCUGGGACGUUACUGACGCUGAGACGCGAAAGCGUGGGGAGCAAACAAG
rnacentral:rRNA from 1 species